rnacentral:rRNA from 1 species
ACGAACGCUGGCGGCGUGCUUCACACAUGCAAGUCGAACGGAAAGGCCUAGCUUGCUGGGUACUCGAGUGGCGAACGGGGGAGUAACACGUGGGUGAUCUGCCCCUGACUUUGGGAUAAGCCUGGGAAACUGGGUCUAAUACCGGAUAUUCAUUUUUCCUCGCAUGGGGAUUUGUGGAAAGCUUUUGCGGUUGGGGAUGGGCCCGCGGCCUAUCAGCUUGUUGGUGGGGUAAUGGCCUACCAAGGCGACGACGGGUAGCCGACCUGAGAGGGUGAUCGGCCACACUGGGACUGAGACACGGCCCAGACUCCUACGGGAGGCAGCAGUGGGGAAUAUUGCACAAUGGGCGCAAGCCUGAUGCAGCGACGCCGCGUGAGGGAUGACGGCCUUCGGGUUGUAAACCUCUUUCAGCUCCGACGAAGCGCAAGUGACGGUAGGAGCAGAAGAAGCACCGGCCAACUACGUG